rnacentral:rRNA from 1 species
UACGUAGGGUGCGAGCGUUAUUCGGAAUUACUGGGCGUAAAGGGUGCGUAGGCGGUUCGUUAAGUCUGUCGUGAAAUCCCCGGGCUCAACCUGGGAAUGGCGAUGGAUACUGGCGAGCUAGAGUGUGUCAGAGGAUGGUGGAAUUCCCGGUGUAGCAGUGAAAUGCGUAGAGAUCGGGAGGAACACCAGUGGCGAAGGCGGCCUUCUGGACCAAUACUGACGCUCAUGCACGAAAGCGUGGGGAGCAAACAGG